rnacentral:rRNA from 1 species
AUUGAACGCUGGCGGCAGGCCUAACACAUGCAAGUCGAACGAGUGGCGGACGGGUGAGUAAUGUCUGGGAAACUGCCAGAUGGAGGGGGAUAAAUUCUGGACACUGUAGCUAAUACCGCAUACCAUCAGAUGUGCCCAGAUGGGAUUGGCUAGUUGGGGGGGGAACGGCACACAAAGGCGACGAUCCCUAGCUGGUCUGAGAGGAUGACCAGCCACACUGGAACUGAGACACGGUCCAGACGCCUACGGGAGGCAGCAGUGGGGAAUAUUGCACAAUGGGCGCAAGCCUGAUGCAGCCAUGCCGCGUGUAUGAAGAAGGCCUUCGGGUUGUAAAGUACUGUCAGCGGGGAGGCGUUACCCGCAGAAGAAGCACCGGCUAACUCCGUGCCAGCAGCCGCGGUAAUAC